rnacentral:rRNA from 1 species
CCCUUAGAUGUUCUGGGCUGCACGCGCGCUACACUGAUGCGAUCAACAAGUUUUUCCUAUGUCGAUAGACACGGGUAAUCUUUUGAACUCGCAUCGUGAUGGGGAUAGAUUAUUGUAAUUAUUAAUCUUCAACGAGGAAUUCCUAGUAGGUGCAAAUCAUCAGUUUGCAUCGAUUACGUCCCUGCCCUUUGCACACACCGCCCGUCGCUGCUACCGAUUGGUUGAUCUGGUGAAUUAUUCGGACUGCCGGCUGAAGGGGUUUCCUCAUCUGCCAGCGGAAAGUCUUGUUAACCCUAUCAACUAGAGGAAGCAGAAGUCGUAACA